AACGAACGCUUGCGGCGCGCCUAAUACAUGCAAGUCGAGCGAGAAAGUACUUCGGUAUGAGUAAAGCGGCGGACGGGUGAGGAACACGUAGAUAAUCUGCCUUAGAGUGGGGGAUAACUAAUCGAAAGAUUAGCUAAUACCGCAUAAGACCACAAGGGCUUCGGCUCAAGGGGUUAAAGGAGCAAUUCGCUCUAAGAUGAGUCUGCGUCCGAUUAGCUAGUUGGUGAGGUAAUGGCUCACUAAGGCAACGAUCGGUAACUGGUCUGAGAGGAUGACCAGUCACACUGGAACUGAGACACGGUCCAGACUCCUACGGGAGGCAGCAGUAGGGAAUAUUGCACAAUGGACGAAAGUCUGAUGCAGCGACGCCGCGUGAGUGAUGAAGGCCUUCGGGUUGUAAAACUCUGUGAUAAGGGAAGAUGAUGACGGUAACCGGAGAAGAAGCCCCGGCUAACUUCGUGCCAGCCGCCGCAGUAAUAC
rnacentral:rRNA from 1 species